CCAUCUCCUCACCAUCUUCUCACUUCCCACCUCUCUCUCUCCGCGUAUGAGUUUUCUCUUUUCUUUCUUUCGAGGCAGAGAGAAGUUUUCAGACAAGAAAGCAAGGGAGAAGUUUGUACGCGGUAAGAGCGCAGCUUAAGAAGGCCCAAGUUGAUCCUGCCGCAAUAGCUGGUGUUCAUAUCUCAGCAUGACAAGCUCAGGAUCAAAGCAGACUUUCCCCAUGUUCAAUUGGUAGCUAGGAGAAACAGAUUUUGCUUCUUCUAAUACUAAAACUUCAGCUCAAAUCUUGCUUCUUCAAUUAAUUUGCUGUCACCAUUCUAAUAUUCCUUGUAGGUCACUUGGCGCUCUGAAGCCAGCAGUGCCUUAUAUGGGUUCUCCACCAUCAUCUCCAUGUUCAAAGCUUCAGGAAUCAGAUUCUCCAGUCCAACCUGAAUCUUCAGGAACAAAAGCUUCACAAGAUGAUGAAGAGAUCUUAAUGGGGUUUUGUCUUGACAAUGGAAGUUUGUCGAUAAAAAUGGAGUGUUCACCUUGAUUAGGUGCUAUCCUACCUGAGCUUUUACACUACACCUUCCUCACCUCUUUAAUCUUUUUUGUUGUGUUUUUUUUAUUCUUUUAUCCAAUCACCAACCUUUAUUCCCAUUUUUCUAGUCUUCUUGACCUUGUAAGACCUUUUCUUGGCCUUGUAAGACCCCAUGUCACGCUUGCUUUCUUUGUUUUUCAGUUUGUGAUUAAUUCUCUAUCCAAUACCAAGGAUAGGGAGUUUGAUCUCUGUUGUUUCCCUGUUUCCACCCAACUCACCUUCUUUUUCUCUGUCUAUCCCUCCUGAGCUAAGCUAUUUGAAUCAAACCCACUGCCCCCAUUCCACCAUUGAAUUCUUUAUAAACAUUUCCUCUCAUCACACAAGCUGUUUGAAGAUUAAUUCUCAAGAAUCAAAUGAGGGCUUUAUUCGACCUGAGCAUCUGUCCACGAGUGGAUCAUGGGAUAUGCAUGUGAGGAAAACAAAAGAAAAAUGGCGAAAGUGAUCACUGAAGAAGCACUCCAGAGAGUACCCAAGCGUUAAUUAGGAAGCCAUUGAUUUACUUAUCUUGUCAUGGAUUUUCCUUGUUUUUGUAUGUACAGAAAUAUGCUGUUGCAGGCCUCGUUUUCGUUGUUUUAUUUGUUGGCUGAUGAGUGAAUAGAGAAUAAAUAUUCUCACAGAUCUAUGAAGAGUCUCCUCGUGACUGCUCCUAUGUACAAUUACAAUAUAUCCACUGUAUUAUUGAAUCUCUCUAUCUCUCUCAGAAAUACAUGUUUUUCCUUCUGUUAUUAAUUGUAUUUCUUUUUUUUCUUGUUCUACUACUUGGGAUUUGGGAACUUGUCAUAUAUUUAUUAGUGUUAUUCAGAUUUUCUGUAAGUAGCUGUAGUUGUAAAGAAAAGCCUCUAUGUUGCUGAGACUGAGAGACACAGCUACUCUUAAUAUUGAACUUUAAUCUUCUGCAGUCCUUGAGUCCUUUUUUUUUUUUCUUUUCUUCCUUGUCGUUCGUUUCUCUUGCAAUGCAAGUUAGUUGGGACUGAACAAUUAUGGCAUUGAGUACUAAACAAAGUAAACAGUAAGGUCAUCAUCAAGAAACUCGAACAAAAAUAUUAAUUGGAAUCAAUCCAAUAUUAAAUUUUACAGGACGAAGAUGGUAAUCAAGCAAAGCAAUUGGCAGGCAGAGGUUUCUCUCAUCUCUGGGCUCUGGGCUCUGGUAUCGACUUGUUAAGAUGAUGGGAGUUUGUAUUAUGAAAAGUGAAAAAACAACCCAUGUGCCUAGAUUUGUUCAAAAGGUGACAAAUUCUUGCUCUUCUCUUUGUUUCUGGUGGGUGGAGGGUGGACGGGUGGUAGUGAGAGAAUUGUUAACAAGACACAAUCAUGCACCGUUGUGCGUUUCUCCUUUUCAGGUACGAUAUCAACUUAAAGCUUUGGAGCAGAGAUAGUCAGCAUCAAUUCUGGGGUAUGGGCAGAUGAUUAAGCAUGUGUUUAGAAAUUGACAGAUCGAGGCCAGUGAGCGCAGCGAGGGCGUUUCUGUAAUGGUUCAAUGCUCGGAAUGAAGCCCCUUUUAAUUUC